GAUGAAGAACGCAGCGAAAUGCGAUAAGUAAUGUGAAUUGCAGAAUUCAGUGAAUCAUCGAAUCUUUGAACGCAUCUUGCGCUUCUUGGUAUUCCUUGGAGCAUGCCUGUUUGAGUAUCAUGAGCAAAUCUCAAAGUCAAUUCCUUUUGUUGAUUCAAUUGGUUUUGCUUUGGACUUGGAGGCCUUGCAGAUUUCACAGUCUGCUCCUCUUAAAUGCAUUAGCUGGAUCUCAGUAAUUAUGCUUGGUUCCACUCGGCGUGAUAAGUAUCACUCGCUGAGGACACUGUUAAAAAGGUGGCCAGGAAAAUACUGAUUGAACCGCCUCUAACGGUCUAUUAAGUUAGACAAUUACCCUUAAGUUUGAUCUCAAAUCAGGUAGGACUACCCGCUGAACUUAAGCAUAUCAAUAAGCGGAGGA
rnacentral:misc_RNA from 1 species